rnacentral:rRNA from 1 species
UAACGCGAAGAACCUUACCUACACUUGACAUCCUCGGAACUUUCUAGAGAUAGAUUGGUGCCUUCGGGAACCGAGUGACAGGUGCUGCAUGGCUGUCGUCAGCUCGUGUCGUGAGAUGUUGGGUUAAGUCCCGUAACGAGCGCAACCCUUAUCCUUAAUUGCCAGCGGUUCGGCCGGGAACUCUAAGGAGACUGCCGAUGACAAAUCGGAGGAAGGUGGGGACGACGUCAAGUCAUCAUGGCCCUUACGUCCAGGGCUACACACGUGCUACAAUGGCCGGUACAGAGGGCAGCCAUCCUGUGAAGGAGCGCGAAUCUCGAAAGCCGGUCUCAGUUCGGAUCGAAGUCUGCAACCCGACUUCGUGAAGCUGGAAUCGCUAGUAAUCGCGCAUCAGCCAUGGCGCGGUGAAUACGUUCCCGGGUCUUGUACACACCG